CAGAUGUUUGCUGAAUGGGAACUGAAUACACAGGAUGAAGACCAGCAAGAAGUAAAAGUGCAGACAGACAGCAAAUACUACUUCACUCUGCAAACCAGAAUGACAGCACCAGCUCUCCCCCAUCGUGAGGUAUUCACAGAAUCAUGGAAUGGCUGAGCAUGGAAGAGAUCACUGGAGCUCAUCUAAUCCAACCUCCCUGCUCAAGCUGGACAAGCAAAGACCUGAGGGAAGAAACAAAACAAUGCUGAAGGCAAAAAUACUAUUAGGGUUGCUGGUAGCUCCAUCCCAGAAAGGAAUUUCUCAUAGAAAAAAACCAAACAAAACCAAAUCAAUCACCCAAAAGAACACUCCCCAAAACAAAUAAACAAAAAACAACAAAAACCCAAACAAACAAAUGAAAAAAUAA